CCUACGGGGGGCAGCAGUGGGGAAUAUUGCACAAUGGGGGAAACCCUGAUGCAGCGACGCCGCGUGAGUGAAGAAGUAAUUCGUUACGUAAAGCUCUAUCAGCAGGGAAGAAACACUGACCUUACGGUCAGCAGACGGUACCUGAGUAAUAAGCCCCGGCUAACUACGUGCCAGCAGCCGCGGUAAUACGUAGGGGGCAAGCGUUAUCCGGAUUUACUGGGUGUAAAGGGAGCGUAGACGGUAUGGCAAGUCUGAAGUGAAAGCCCAGGGCUUAACCCUGGGACUGCUUUGGAAAUUGUUAGACUAGAGUGCGGGAGAGGUAAGUGGAAUUCCUAGUGUAGCGGUGAAAUGCGUAGAUAUUAGGAGGAACACCAGUGGCGAAGGCGGCUUACUGGACAGUAACUGACGUUGAGGCUCGAAAGCGUGGGGAGCAAACAGGAUUAGAUACCCUGGUAGUC
rnacentral:rRNA from 1 species